ensembl:lncRNA
AUCAGCCGUUGCGGUAUGCAAUCAAUUCCCUUACCUCAAAUUGUUUUUCUUCACACAAACCUUCCAAAAUUGAGGUAUUUUUACCUCCAGGUCAAACACCAUAUGCUCAUUGGACAGAUAUCUAUUUACAUAAGCAUGGUGUUGGCAGAGCAUGACAUUUACCCACAAAAUAAGUAAUGGAUGUGUGUUUGGAGAAAGGAAGGAAGUAUGGAUUUAGCGUGUUGGUUUUGUGACGACGAUGACCGACUCGCAUCUGAGAGGCUAAGCUAUGGGCACUGUAGUAAAGGACAGCGAAAAGUAACCGUCUGAGGGGUGCAAAGGUCAAAGGACUAGGAAGAGAUGGCCAUUACGAAUCAUAAAGGAUUACCAGAUGAGCCUAGACACUUUACUGCUCCUCCUGAAGAUGUCUUCAAAGAUGUCCCAGUCAAUGCACCUUUUCAAAGCUGUUUAAGUUUUCGCUCUCCGUGAAAACUUGCUCACCUGUAGGAAGCAGUUCUUUCCUGGUUCCAGUUUUCUGAGGGUUGGAAGAACAUUCCAUCAGUUUCCCACCC